rnacentral:rRNA from 1 species
GGAAUAUUGGACAAUGGGGGAAACCCUGAUCCAGCGACGCCGCGUGUGUGAAGAAGGCCUGCGGGUUGUAAAGCACUUUUAGUAGAGAUGAAAAGCUCCGGGAUAACACCACGGGGUCUUGACCUAACCUACAGAAAACGCACCGGCUAACUCUGUGCCAGCAGCCGCGGUCAUACAGAGGGUGCGAGCGUUAAUCGGAAUUACUGGGCGUAAAGCGCGCGUAGGCGGUUUUGUAAGUCGGGUGUGAAAUCCCAGGGCUCAACCCUGGAACUGCAUUCGAGACUGCAAGACUGGAGUAUGGGAGAGGGCAGUGGAAUUUCCGGUGUAGCGGUGAAAUGCGUAGAUAUCGGAAGGAACAUCAGUGGCGAAAGCGACUGCCUGGCCCAAUACUGACGCUCAUGUGCGAAAGCGUGGGGAGCAAAC